CCCGCCCGGGUCCGUGGUUGCGCCGGAAUGUCCCCUCCGCAGGGAGGAGCGAGCCGGUUAGCCGAUGCCAGCCGCAGGCGAAACGGUCCACGUAAGGCGACUUCUCGUCGUCGAUCACGGUGCGGCUUAGAAGUAAGUCCUGCCUCGCCGGCGACCCAGAUGGUUGCCGUCCCGGGAGAAGGGGAGUAGUGGCGAACAUCGCUGCGAGACCCUCAGCAGGCGGAUGUGGGGUCGAAGACCAGGUCGGCCGGGCGGG
ncrna:unclassified sequences raiA RNA